GGAGGUCGCCGUUGUUGCUCUUGGAGAUCGCCAUCGGGGUGGAGGUCAUCGUUGGCCGCUGCUGCUCUUGGAGAUCACUGCACCGUCGAGGUGAAGGUCGUCAUUGGCCGCUGCUGCGCUUGGAGGUCGCCACGCCGUCGGGUGGAGGUCGCCGCGCCGUCGGAGUGGAGCGCCGUGCCGUCGGGGUGGAGGCCGCCGCCAUCAGGGUGGAGGUCGCCGUCGAGGUGAAGUGUGUGUGGCGGUUGUGUGUGAUGGAGAAGAAGAAGAAAAAGAAGAGUGAUUGUUGUGUGUGAAGAAUAAGAAGGAGAAGGAGUUAUGCUGUGUGUUUUGUG
rnacentral:lncRNA from 1 species